GUAACCGUGCCCUGUACAGGGGGAGUAACAAUCAGAAAUGACUGCUAAUACUGCAUAAGACCACAGCACCGCAUGGUGCAGGGGUAAAAACUCCGGUGGUACAGGAUGGACCCGCGUCUGAUUAGCUGGUUGGUGAGGUAACGGCUCACCAAGGCGACGAUCAGUAGCCGGCUUGAGAGAGUGAACGGCCACAUUGGGACUGAGACACGGCCCAGACUCCUACGGGAGGCAGCAUG
rnacentral:rRNA from 1 species